CUCAGGUGAUCCACCCGCCUCAGCCUCCCAAAGUGCUGGGAUUACAGGUGUGAGCCACCACACCCAGCCUGAAUGUGAUGUUUUAAUUCCUAUGAUUGCUUCACUGAGCAUAUUGCACAUUGAAAGUAUAGCCUUUUGCCUUAUUAGGAACAUAGGCAUAGAUUAAUUGUCCCACAUUUGUGUGUCUCUAGACGCCAUUUAUUUUAUGUACACGGCUGUAGAAGAACUGAAAUCUGAUUGUGCCUGCAGAAUGGAAGGUAGCUUCUUAAGAAAUGCUGUUCUUUUGCAGGUCAGCUUAUCAUAGGUAUGUGCACACAAAUCUAAAUUUUUAGCACAGUUUUUAUUUGCAGCAGUGGAAUGUGGUCCCUGAACCAGCACCAUCAGCCUCAUCUGGCAACUCGUGAGAAAUACACAUUCUCAAACCUUACCCCAGACCUACUGAAUCAGAAAUUCUAGAGAUGAGGCCUAAGAAUCUAUGUUUAACAACCCCUCCAGGUGUUCUAAUGCUUGCUAAAGUUUGAAAACCAUUGCUUUACAGACUAUGCCAGUUCGUCUGUGGCUAAUAUUGUUGCUAAAAUGAGUAAUUAAUGAAACCUGAUUUUAUGGGCUAGAAUUGUUUAUGGCUGAUGAUAGCAAAUUAGGGAAGUUAAUGGAAAUGGCACCCUAUUUCUUAAACUAUCGAAAAGAAUAGGAAAAGAGAUUCAAACUAGGAGCCUCAUUUACCUUAAUACAUUCCUUUUUUUUUUUUUUUUUUUUUGAAAUGGAGUCUUGCUCUGUCACCCAGGCUGGAGUGCAGUGGCGUGAUCUUGGCUCACUGCAACCUCCCCCUCCCGGGUUCAAGCAAUUCUCAUGCCUCAGCCUCCCAAGGAGCUAGGAUGACAGGCAUGCACCACCAUGCCUGGCUAAUUUUUGUAUUUUUAGUUCAGAUGGGGUUUCGCCCUGUAGGCCAGGCUGGUCUCCAACUCCUGACCUCAAGUGAUCUGCUUGCCUCGGCCUUCCAAAGUGCUGGGAUUACAGGCAUGAGCCACCAUGCCCGGCCCCCUCCUGUGUCUUUUAAAACAGCAUCACCUUCCCCCCAUGUUUCCCCUUCUCCCCAGAUCCAUUCCACUUAGUCUCACCAGUUCAGUUUUCCUUCAUCUGUCUAUUUUACUGGAAGACAGAACUGUGUGAUGAUUAAGACCCUGGUAUUGGAGCCAAACACAGCUAAAUCUGACUUACCACAGCACUUACUAAGUUACUUGGUCUCACUGAGCCUCAGUUCUCUAAUAAAAUGAGGAUAAUAUCUACCUUUUGUAGUUAUGGUAAGGAUUUAAAAGUCUGAUGCUCUGUGCCCGGGAUAUGGUAGACACUACUUACAUUGCUGUCAUGAUUCUAUUGUAUUAUCUCAGCUACCUCUACUCUUCUCCUUCAUACACUUCUUUGCCAAUAAUGACAAAAAUAAAUCACAGCUUAUGUGCUGUUUGACAUGUUUACAAGGCUGAGGGUUUUGUGGCAAGGAAAACUGUGCUUUGACUCCAGCCUGCUGGAAUCCCGGAAAUUGUGUGAAGAGAUCUUAAGCUUUUUUCUCUUUGCAGCUGUAGAGGACUAAUUUAGUUCUCUUUUUCCUAGCAGCUGGUGAUUUUACAGCUGUUGGGUGAUGAAUGGUAAUAAGAGGGAAUAUGGAAUGUUUCAUUAUUUUAUUCAAUUAUCAUCCACUGGAUAACAUGGAGGCCUUAGAAUACUGUGAGAAAUAUUUAAAUGCCCUGAGCUGCACUUGUUAAGGCAGAUUUUUCUCCUGUAAUUUGGAGCUUAUUUUAAAAGAUGGUCAAUAUUUUGACUGAUGCGUCUAAGUCUGAGGGUAAAUGCUGAGAUCUGUGGAACCAUAUAAUGGGGUUUGAGGAAAAUGUUCCUUAGCUACCUAGCUGUAUAAGGCAGGUUUUAGAAUCAUUCAUAUAGUCUCAUUAUGAAAGUGUUUCCCAAGGAAUCCGGAUACAUUCAUUCAUGUAUUUAUGUUUUCAUAUAUCAUAUGUCAUGUUUUAUAAAUUAAGGACAGAUUUAAAGCUACAGUUUUCAUCUUCUUUUUAAAAUUUAUUUUAGAUUUUAUUCAUGUUCUAUGAAUAAGCCAAAAGUAUCAUUAGAAAGCUCUUCAGGCUGGGUACGGUGGCUUAUGCUUGUAAUCCCAGCACUUUCGGAGGCCAAGGCAGGCGGAUCACCUGAAGUCAGGAGUGAUCUGCCCGGCCAACACGGUAAAACCCUGUCUCUACUAAAAUACAAAAAUUAGCUGGGUGUGGUGGCACGCGCCUAUAGUCCCAGAUACUCCGGAGAUUGGGGCCGAAGAAUCGCUUGGACGCAGGAGGCAGAGUUUGCAGUGAGCUGAGAUUGCGCCAUUGCACUCCAGCCUAGGUAACAAGAGCGAAACUCUUGUCUGGAAAAAAAAAAAAAAAAAAAAAAGAGGAAGAAAGAGAGAGAGAAAAGAAAGCUCUUCAAUCUUUAAGAUGUUAAGGAAAUGAACAGGAGAUUUUAAAAACGAUAAAGUUAUUAAAUUUGACUGUAAAAUCAGGAUUUUAAGGGAGAGAGAGAAAGAAAGGAGAGAAAGAAAGAAAGACAGAGAAAGAAAGAAAGAGAGAAAGGGAGAGAAAAGAAAGCUCUUCAAUCUUUAAGGUAUUAAGGAAACGAACAGGAGAUUUAAAAAACAAUAAAGUUAUUAAAUUAGACUAUAAAAUCAGGAUUUUAAAAUACUUCAUAUGGUAAAACAUGCAUGUAUGUUUGGAAAUGUACAUCUGUAAAUUAGUUUUCGGUUUUAGCACAGAAAAAAACUAUCAUGGAUUAUAAAUACUGAUGACAACAGUUACCCCUUACUGAAUGCCUACUAUGUGCCAGGUCUUGUGCUGUCAUGCUACAAGUAUUAUUGAAUUUAAUCUCCAUAACAACUACAUGGAGUAUCAUUAUUUUCUUUCACAGAUGCGAAACCGAGACUUGAAAAUGUUGACUUCCCCAAAACGAACGAAGGGUAGAGCCACAAUUACAUUCACCUGUCAGACACUAAAGCCCAUUCUCUUUUUGUUGGUGUUGCACUGUGAAAGACUUGGAUCUAACCAGGGUUGACAUCGUGCCAAGAACAGAGAAAAGAGAGGGAGGGGAAAAAGGAUUGGAGAGGGCAGGGGCGAUGAGGCUGGGUUCAAGGGACUGAUCAUCAUCAUAACCACAGAAUCUAAACUAAGGAGGGAAGUGAGAGAGUAAAGACAAUUCUCACCCCCAAAGGUUAGCUGAUUUAUUUAUUUAUUAUUAUUUUUUGAGACAGAGUCUCACUCUGUUGCACAGUGGCGCAAUCUCGGCUCACUGCAACCUCUGCCUCCCAGAUUCAAGCGAUUUUCCUGCCUCAGCCUCCCGAGUAGCUGGGAUUACAGUUGCCCACUACCACACCCGGCUAAUUUUUAUUUUUAGUAGAGAUGGGGUUUCACCAUGUUGGCCAGGCUGGUCUCGAACUCCUGACCUCAGGUGAUCUGCCCACCUUGCCCUCCCAAAGUGCUGGGAUUACAGGUGUGAGCCACCAUGCCUGGCCUAGCUGUUUUAUAUUUUAUAAAGUUCUUUCCUCUGCAUUAUUUCACUCCAUCUUUACUAUAACCCUAGAAGGUAUGACUGCUCUUACAAGGAUAGGUAAACUAUCCAAGUCCUCUACAUUUCAAUGUCACCAGAAAUUAGCAUUGAUUCUCUUCCAUUAACAACUAGUGAAAUGGCUCCAAAGGGAAGAAAAAGAGAAAGAAUAAAAGCAAAAACUUUGGAUAUUCUACAAAGUAAAUAAUUUAGAAGUGACUAUCUUUGGAGGGGUAUGGAUAUCUAUGGUUUUAUUAGGAAGAGGAAUUUCUGGAUCUACCAUCCUUUACUUCCCUCUCUAGCCCUAAAUCAUUUUUGCUGCUGAUGAAAAGCACCAGCAACCUCUAUCAUUUAAUUUGUCACAUUAGGAUCUGGAGGAAUAGGUAAUCCUGUCACCAAAGGAGUGCAACAUAUUCCUAAUAUUAACAAAAUGUAAAGCUUGCCAAUUUGAUACAAUUAGUGUGAGCCUAUCCUCAAUCCUUAUUUCAGUGCUCCUGUGUUAGCAUGGCAUAGUUCUGCUGGUAGUCCCUUAGCACUGAGUAACCACAGGUGCUAUAGAAGGUGUACAGAAUGUUGAUUUUACUUUAUUUACUACCUCAUAUUUCCUAAUAGAAGGGCAAGCCAAAUUCACGUUCAUGGCUGGAAAUUGUUAGUGUUUUGACUGUGUUUUCUCUCCACACAGUAAGAUAUACUUUCUUUUAAUGGAAAAAAUUGCCCAGGAUUACUGUUUCUGAUGAUUAGGAAACAAGAAGACUUUGGGACCAGAGGCAUUCUAAAAUAAUCUUGGCACCCAUGGAAGGAUUUCCUGUGGGGUUCCUUUCAAGAGUUUCCCCAGAACAAUUAGAUAUUUAUUUAUAGGCCUUUAUUUCACAGAGAGGUGAAAGGAUAAAAAUACCUGAGAGGUAAAAUGUUGGUAUCAGAGCUGACAUCUCUAAAAGUGAAAUAGAAGCCAAUGGGAAAGUAAGGUUGAGUCUCCAAAAUAUAAUAUUUGUUCAUUUAACUUUUCAUGAACAUGCUUUCCAGAAAGUGAAUGUUUUUCCAGAAAACAUAUAUAUUUAGGUCAAAAUUGGGGCACUGUAAAAGUGCAAAAAUGAAUCUAACAGGUUUGAAAUACUUGUUCUAUAAAUUUGGGAAGGAAUAACUCAUAUUUGACUUUUUUCUUACUAUAAAGUACUCCCCAAAUAUUCAAGGCAUAUCUCACUUUGCAAAUUUUCUCAUGAAUACUUCCUUUUCAGUAUAACAUUUUUGGGUCCAUCUGUGAAUAGCUGGGAACCUGGAGUCAGAUCUCUGUGUCUGGAAGACCUGGCCUUCCAAUUUCACUGCUAAUAUAAUGGGUUCAUGGGGAGAAGGAAGCUAUAUGGAAAGAGAAAAGCUGAGGUUACUGAUAGAUAUCUGACUUCUGGUGCACAAAUCGUGUCUCCAUGGUAUUUCAUUUGUGUCUUGCCAAUUUUGUAAUAGCUGGAAGCAUACUUCAAUUUGUCCUGAAACAGUUAUAUUCAGUAGAAGAUAAACUGUGAUUUAAGUCCUUAUUCUCCCUUGCAAGGGAAAUUUUUAGUGACAAGACACGUAAGGUUAAAAUACACACACACACACACACACACACACACACACACACACACACUCUCUCUCUCUCUCUCUCUUUAUAAUAAUUCCAGAAGAUGGAAAAAAACCCACAGCCAUUUCAAAUAGUAAGGAAAACAAGAUCUGUUGAUGUUGACAUUCAAAACCUUAAUAAUAUAAUUGGGACUACGAUUGCAUUACAUCUUAGCAAUGUAAAUAUUUUAAUGGAAUAAAAUAGUAAAUUAGUACACAUAUAGGGAUAUAAAAGGGCUAUAAUAUUUGUUAACUCAUAAAAGAUUUUUUUGUAAUAUGGGAUUCUAAUUUGGCAUCUUUUUAGCUCUUUUCCUAGUCUUUAGGUAGAACAAAAAUAGAGAAGAUUAUGGUUUCAAAAACCAAGACAAAAUAUAUUUUAGCUUUAAGAUAGCUCACAUAUUAUAAUGGAAAAAAUUAUUAUAUUUGUUAUACUAUUAAAUAUUUUAUAUAUAAUAUAAACAUUAUGCACUUCAUACAAGUAAACAUGAAUCAAGUGUCUUGCCUUUUAAUUUUGCAUCUCUAAGGGCAUGUAUUAGUCUGUUCUUGCACUGCUGUAAAGAAAUACCUGAGACUGGGUAACUUAUAAGAAAGGAGGUUUAAUUGGCUCAUGGUUCUGCAGGCUGUACAGGAAGCAUGGCAGCAUCUGCUUCUGGGGAGGCCUCAGGAAGCUUCCAAUCAUGGCGGAAGACAAAGCAGGAGCAAGACCCCUGACAUGGCAGGAGCAGCAGCAAGGGUAGGGGAGGUUCCACACACUUUUAAACAACCAGAUCACUUGAGAACUCACUAUCCUGAGGGCAGUGCCAAGGGGAAUGGUGCUAAACCAUUCCUGAGAAACAGCCCCCAUGAUCCAAUCGCCUCCCACCAGGCCCCACCUCCAACACUGGGGAUUACAGUUUGACAUGAGAUUUGGAUGGGGACACAGAUCCAAACCAUAUCAGGGCAACACUAUCAGGCAUGUAACUUAGCUGGCUCAGUGAGCUCUCAGAAUUUCUGAAAGGCAGUGAUUUUAUUGUUUCCCAGAUAAGAACCUAGUAGCCAUUAAAAUUAAAGAGAACACAGGAUCAUAGUAUUUCCAUAGGCUGAACAGAGGCAAAAAAUCCUGUAGCCUAUUUGUCUUUUAGUUCAAACUUAUAACUUAAUUCAAUUCAACUUAACACACCAGGAAUAAAAAGGAGCUUCCUCAAUGUAAUAAAGGUUAGAAAGGAACUUCUCAAUGUAAUAAAGGUCAUCCAUGAAAAGUCCCCUGUUAACAUCAUACUUAAUGGUGAAAAACCAAAUACUUCCUCCCAUGAUCAGGAAUCAGACAAGGAUGUCUGCUCUCACCCCUUCUAUUCAAUAUGGUGCUGGAAGUUCUAGCCAGGGCAAUUAGGCUAGAAAAAUAAGUAAAGAGCAUUCAGAUUAGAAAGGAAGAAGUAAGCCUAUAUUUAUUCACAAAUGAUAUAAUCUUAGAUUAUAGAAAACUCUUAAGAAUUCACCAAAAAACUAUUACAGCUGAUAAACAAGUUGUAAGAUACAAGAUCAACAUUUCAAAAAUCAAUUAUAUUUUUAUACACUGGCAAUGAACAAUCCAAAAAUGAAAUUAAGAAAAUCUCAUUUACAGUAGCAUCAAAAAAGAAUAAAAUAGAGAGAAAUAAACUUAACCAAAUGCAGGGCAUAUACACUGAAAACCCUGAAACAUUGUUAAAAAAAAAUUAAAGAAUACCUAAGUAAAGGGAAAGACAUUUUGACUUCAUGCAUUAAUUAGAAGGCUUAAUAUUAUUAAAAUGACAAUACUCUCCAAACUGACCUAUAGAUUCACUGUGAUAUCUAUCAAAAUUCUAGCUGCCCUUUUUGCAGAAAUGGACCAGCUGAACCUAAAAUUCAGGUGGGAAAGCAAAGGACCUCAAAUAGCCAAAACAACCUUGAAGAACAGCAAAGUUGGAGAACUCACACUUUCCAAUUUCAAAGCUUACCUCAAAUCUAUAGUAAUUAAAACAGUGUGGUACUGGCCAAAGGAUAGGCAUAUAAAUCAAUGGGAGAGAGAGUUCAGAAAUAAACUUAUACAUUUGUGGCCAAAAUUAACAAAAAUUAACCAAAAUGGAUCAAAAACCUAAAUAUAGAGCUAAAAUUAUAAAACUCUUAUAAAGAAACAUAGGUGUAGAUCUUCAUGACUUUGGAUUAAGCAAUGGUUUCUUAGAUAUGACACCAAAAGCACAAGCAACAAAUAAAACAAAUAAAUUGGACAUCAUCAAAAUGAAAAACUUUUGUGCAUCAAAGGAUGCUAUCAAGAAACUGAAAAGACAAUGCACAGAAUGGGAGUAAAUACUUUCAAAUCAUAUAUUUGAAAAAGUUCUGGUAUCCAGAAUGUAUAAAGAACUCUUACAACUCAACAACAAAACAAAAAAUAACCCAGUUUAAUAAUCAGUAAAAGAUUUGAAUGACUGGUCUUGAGCCACCCAAAGAAGGUAUGCAAAUGGCCAAUAAGCACAUAAAAAGACAUUCAACAUCAUUAGUCAUUAGGGAGAUGCAAAUCAAAACGAUAUUGUGAUACCACUUUACAUCCAUGGCUAUGAUCAGAAAGACAAACAAUAACAAGUCUUGGGGAUGAUAUGGAAAAGUUGGAACCUUCAUACAUUGCUGGUAGAAAUGUAAAAUGCUACUGCUGCUGUGGAAAACAGUCUGGCAUUUUCCCCAAAAAAAUUUUUUUUUUUUGAGACAGAGUCUUGCUCUGUCUUCCAGGCUGGAGUGCAGUGGCGCAAUCUCCACUCACUGCAAGCCCCGCCUCCCAGGUUCACGCCAUUCUCCUGCCUCAGCCUUCUGAGUAGCUGGGAUUAUAGGCAUCUACCACCAUGCCCGGCUAAUUUUUGUAUUUUUAGUAGAGACGGGGUUUCACCAUGUUGAAGGCUGAACUCCUGAAGGUCGAACUCCUGACCUCAGGUGAUCCACCCAUCUUGGCCUCCCAAAGUGCUGGGAUUACAGGCGUGAACCACCAUGCCCAACCCUGUCAAAAAUUUUAAUAUGGAGUUGCCAUAUGACCCAGCAAUUCUACCCCUCAGUAUAUACACAAGUGAAUUGAAAACAUGUCUACACAAAAUCUUGUACAUGAAUGUUCAUAGAAGCAUUAUUCAUAGUAGCCAAAAAGUGGAGACAACUCAAAUGUCCAUCACUUGAUGAAUGGAUAAACUAUGGUAUGUCUAUACAAUGGACUAUUAUCCAGCCAUAAAAAAGAAUGAAAUACUGAUACACGUUAUAAUUUGGAUAAACCUUGAAAAUGCUGUGCUAAGUGAAACCUAGACACAAAAGGCCACAUAUUGUAUUAUUCCUUUUAUGUGAAAUCCCCAGAAUAGACAAAUCCAUAAAGAUAAAAUAGGUUGGUGAUUGGCAGGUAUCAGCAAUUAAGGGGGAAUGAGAAGUGACUGCCUAGUGAGCAUGAGAUUUCUUUUUGGAGUGGUGAAAAUGCUGUGGAAUUAGAUGGUGGUAAUGACUGUACAACAUUUUGAAUAUACUGAAACCACUGAAAUGUACACUAGAAUGGUUAAAAAUAGUGAAUUUUAUGUUACGUGAAUGUUAUCUCAGUUAGAAAAAAAUCAAUAGCUUAAAAAAAAAACCCAAACAAAAACAGAAAAACAAACAUGGUGGGUUAUACAGGAAUUUUACAGAAUAAAUAUAUUUCUUUUCAAGACCAGUCAUUAAACUGACUGAUUUCAAAAGCAAUAGCUUUUGGAUGGAUGAGUAUUGAAGAAAACCAAUUCUUUCAAUAGCUGUGGCUGUUGUUUCUGGCCAUACACAGAUAGUCACAGAUUUCUGAAUGGCUCUGUAUUCUGAUAGAGUUUCUAAACAAGCGUAACUUUUUAAUAAACCAGUAUUCCACCUUCAUUUUUCAUAUGUGCAUACUCAAUAAUGAAGACUGUGUUUUACAAGAUUCACCUAGAAACAAACAAUUUCCCGAUAUGAAAAGAAGCAUCUGAAUGAAUUAACAACAAAAAACAAUGGAAGACAACAUGCCCUAGUAACUGACUUCUUGUACUACAAUCAGGGGCUCAUUUAUCUUAAACAUGUCAACUUUUGUAAUACCCUGUGCCCUGUAUAGAAUACUGAGUGACAAUCAGACAGUGCUGUCAAGAAAGAAGGGAAACAGCAGGAAACGUGAACUAGACUGGAUCUUUAAAAAAAUCUUUGUAAGAGAAUGCAUAGUAGCCUGUGACAAGAAAUUUUUUUCCUUUAAAACAACCAGAAACUAUGCAAACACAUUGAGCAAAUGAAUCUUAACGGGUGAAAAGUACUUAAUAAUCCUUACAGCAUUUCUAAUAGAAUUUACCUGGCCCCAACUAAUUAUAACAACUUCUAAAUCCUAGAAGACAGUGAAUAAAACCCUACAACACCUUCCUUCAUUCUCAAACACUACUUGACAGAUAAGUUGCUUACAAAAUUAGUUCUACUCGUUUUUUGCUUUCACGCAGUUUCCCAGGUUCUUGCCUAAUAGUUGUAUUAAGAGUUUAAAUGGCUUACUAGAAGUUAUAUAUUGUUAAUUCUAUUUUUGCUGCCUCUUUCUAAAAUUAUUAAAAUUAAAUAGGUACUAAGAAACUGAAAUCGAUGUAAUCCCCUUUUCCCUCCAAGAGAUUCUAUUAUAAGAAGUUAUUUUAGGUGUUUGUGGGAAGCAAAAAAAAAAAAAAAAUCCUGAUGACAUCACUGUUCUAAGAUGGAACUUCUAAUAUUUUAGGAAUCUCUUGGGAGUUCUGUUCCCUAUUCUGUCAUUGAUUUGCUUUCUGACCUUGGGAAAGUUUAAGUAUAAAAAGACAAGUGCAAAGGAAAGUUAUGAAAACAAGACUGAGAUCAAAUGAAGAACAAAGAUGGAGUAGGUCCAUAACUGACCCACAUUCCUUGAGCUUACAAUAGAUCUCCAGGAGAUGACCACUACGCAUGAGGACAUAUUUAUCAACAUGCCUUGCCCAGUUGCUGCAGGAAAGAGGAAAUACUCUCUUAGCUCUUCCUCGUUUGAUUUUCAGAUGAUUCCAGGAAUGUUCUGCAUUGGUAAGUGGCAACAGGAUCCAGCUAUAUGUCAUUUAAGCCUAAUCUGGGGGCUCAAAAAGGAUUUUGGGUAGUUUCUGCAACCAAAUAGUAUUUACAAUACAGAGAAACAGGCCUUGAAAUCAUAGAACCUUAAGACUAGAAGGAACCUAAAAGUUGUUUAAGCCAAUCUUCCAUGUUUAAAUAUUCUACAACAAUCUUGGUAAGCAUCCAUCCCAUAUGCUUGAUGCUGUCAAUGAACAGCUUCCCACAACCUCCUGGCUGGUCAGUUUCAAACUCAACCACAUGAUUGCUGACUACUGAAAGCGUUCUGCCCCAAAAGGAAGGACAAUGAAAAAGCAGCUUUUCUAGGCAAGUCCCGUGUAUCUUCCAGUUAUGAAUCUAAAAGAUAAUAAUUUCCCUAUUUCACCUCCCCCUGACCUAAAUUCUUAUGUCUCUUGCCUCAAAUAUGAGGAAAUAAUAUUUUAUCUUCCAUGCCUAUUUGGCUUUAAUAUAUGAUAUUAUCACCAAAGUAAACAGCUCUUAACGAGCAUGCUGUUCCAGUAAUUCCUUGACUGACUGGUUCAAUGUGUGUAUGAGUCCCUUCCUGUAAGAUAAAUGUGCUAAAAAUGACUGGCAAGUGCGUUAAUAUUAGUAGCAAAUAAACUCAAUUAAAUACGAGUGUGAAAACUUUUGACAUUGGCAGAGAAGAGUAUUCUUAGCAUAACAGGGAAGUUUAUGGAAAUCAUAGAAUAUCCAAAAUUCUAUUCACCUCUUGGGUCAUUAGAAGUUGUAGUUUUGCUGUUAAGGUAAAUUACUCAUUUUUUAAUUAGAUAACUAGACACCGCUUUUCUUCAACUCAACCUUAAAUACAUAAUCCCAUUUUCCUGCUCCUUAUCUAGUUCAUGUUUGUAUACCAAACAAGAGCUAUGUUUAACCUAUUACUAAAGUUUCCUUUUUCUGUUUUUUUUUUUUUUCAAUGAAGACCUAGUUUUACUUGCACAUUUUUCACGAGCAUCAAAUAGUGGAUGAUCUUUCAAGCUUGAACAGCAACAGUUGUAUUGCUGAGGAAGGAUUUCUUGUUUCAAAUUGUCUAGGUAAUGAUUUACAGCUAUUUUUGGUAAUUCUCAAAAUGACAGCUCCUUGAAUUUUUCUGUAUGCAGAAAAAUUUGCUGGGCUAGCAUCUUUCAGACCCCGGGAGGUUCAUCCCAAUCCUUGGCAUGUGGGAUCAAGGGAAUGCUCUGAAAUCCUCGCUGUAGAGGGAAUUGACUUGUCCAACAUUAUCUUGUGAUACAUGUGAAUGUUUGACGAGGUAACUCUAAAUAUCUGCGGACUCCUGAGGCCUGAGAUUUGUGGCAGGAUGAACCCAUGUGUUGGGUGAUAUUACGUAUAGGCCUUAGGCCUUCCAAGACCAAACCUGAUAAGUUGAACCUAUGAUGAUGGUUGAGCUCCUUUGAAGAGGACUCACAGUACUUUGCAGCAUCUUGCUUCAUACAGUAUUCAAUAAACGGUUGCUAAAAAGUGGAAAAGAGGGCCAGGCAUAGGGGCUCAUGCCUGUGAUCCCAACCCUUUAGGAGGCUGAGGUGGGAGGAUCACUUGAGCCUAGGAAUUGGAGACCAGCCUGGGCAAUGUAGUGAAACCCUAUCUUUACAAAAAAUACAAAAAUUAGCUGGGCAUGGUGACAUGUGCCUGUUGUCCAAGCUACUCGGGAGACUCAGAUGGGAGGAUCACUUCCGCCCAGGAAUUCAAGGUGUCAGUGAUCUGUGAUCACACCAUUACACUUCAGCCUGAGCAACAAAGCAAGACCCUGUCUCUAAAAAAAAUUAAAAAUAAAUAAGUAAAAUUAAAAAAUGGAGAGGAUGCAAAAAAACUACAUAAGAAUUAACAUGCUGAUGUAACUGGAAAAUCAGGAAAAAGAAAUUAACAACCUUUUCAACUUCUGAAUAUUUUCAGAAAAUACAUGUGGGUGCCACUGGUUAUUGUAAGGCAUGAGCUGGGGGGAAAGCUGGAGAAGAAACCAUAAAAGGAAAAAGGGAAGAAAGAACAUAACAGGCAAGAUAGGAGAGAGAUAGAAAUAAUAUUUUUAAAAAAAGAGAAGAAAAGAAAGUAUAUUUAAUAUAUCUUUCACAUCAUUUCCUUACUCAAAAAUCUUCAAUGGAUCUGCAUUGCUUACAGGAUAAAUUUCAGCCUCUUUAAGCUAAUGUUUAGUGUGUUCUGUGAUCUGGAUUGAACCUACCUCUCGAACACAUACCUCUGGUUUAUUUAUUGAUUGUCCCUGACUAUUCCUUUAGGGUUUUUAUAUUCUUGUCUUUGCUCCCUAAGGAAAAUCCCAUGUACCCUUCAGGACACAGACUCAGGGACUGCACUUAGAAGUUUUAUACAGACAGCACUAAUUGACUUUGUUUUUUAUCAUAUUUACUUUACACCCCUUAACAUUUUCCCUAAUGCCCUCCUUAGAUAGAACUCCCUUAACAGCAGGAACUCUGACUCCAAUUCUAUCAGAUUAUUUAUGUGUUUUUAUGUAUGUUUUGCUUUUUUGUGUGUGGGUGUUUUUUUUUUUUGACAUGUAGGAUUUAGAUAAUUACAAAACUGUUUUUCCUACUAGUCUCCAUUGUGUUACUUCUGCCAGCUACAUAAGGAUGCCUUCAUCUUACUAAAUUCUUCAGCCUCGGAAGAUUUUUCCUACACAGUCAUUUUCUCAAAGACUCUCUUUUCUUUGAAGUCAGCAUUUAGUACUACAAGUAAAACAAAGAAUCAUCAACUUUUCCUGAGAGCUUUUACAGAAAUUUGCCACAUAGAAGUUAUUUGAUUGGCAAGAGUUUAUAUUUUUUCAUGAUGAGAGAGAACACUGAAUUUAAAAUGUUCAAUAAAAGUAAUAUGUCUGAGGCAUCUCUACUUCAUAUAUUUUAUAAUAAAAAAUGGAUAGGAAAAAUCAGAUACCCAGGAGCUAGGAUGAAAAAAAUCUCAUUUUUAUAGAGCAGUAGAAGUUGAAUUCCUGCAGCUCUCAAAAUUUAAGUGCAGAUUUGUCUUUAGAGCUUGCCUGGAUGUGUGAAUGGAGAUUUGUAGUGAACCCUUAUAAUUCCAUGGAAUUUUGAUAUAGAAACUUUUCAUAUCAGAGAGCCAUGAAGAGAAGGCCAAGAAGGUAGAUUAUCAUAACUCAAUUCAUACUUGGGGAUUCCAAGACCAAAACCAGUGAAUUGAAUCUAUAGUAUUAGUUGCAUUUCUAUAAAGAAAAUUAACAAAAAUUUUUGCAACAUCAUCUUUUUUUCAAGGAGCCAAUUUACCCUAUUUUUAAAAAAUCUGUAUACUCACUAAUCCCUGAGAAUUAAAAGAACUUCUAUAAUUUUCAUGAAGCAUGAGAACCUUACAUGACAAUACACUGAAAUGAAAUUUAGCAAGAUGGCCACCAACAUAUUGCUUAUGAAAUUUUCCAGCUAACUCUUAGGCAUCAUGUUCACUCACACGCAGCCCGAAGUCCUCUAAGCCCUGUGUGUAACUCCUGAACUUGGACAUUAUGUGAGCAUAAGGCCCAUAGCAGUCAUAUAGCACACUCGGAUAAUUGCACAGGCCACUUGCAGAGUGCGACCACCAGUGGUAGGAAAGUAUUAAAAGAAAGAAAGUCCUGGAUGAGAUGACACAAGUUACUUGAGUGUUAUCUUAGGUCAAGCAGUAGUAUAUCAGUGUAUCGGUGUGGCUGUUUUCAGGUUUGUUGAACUUUACCUUAGGGACUCAUUUUGGUUUGGCCACUCUGAGCACAUGUCAUUUUUAGUAAUUCAUUUUUUGUCACAAUCAAAAUAUUUUAGAUGCAUUGAAAUAAACUUUGCUCACAGAUUCUCCUUACACCUUGGUUCAUUUUGUUUCCUUUUCCUGAAAAGUUUCUUCCCUUCUGUCUGUUAAAAAUGCCACCCAUGUGUCAAGGGCCAGCUCCAAUCUCCACCUUUCUCAUAAAGCCCUCCACAGCUGUCAGCCUGUGGUGAUUUCUGCAUCUUUUGAACGCCAGCAUUAUUUUGCUUCUUAGGUAUUUGUUUAUUGUCUUGUUUAUCUGUUAUUUUCUUCUAUGUAACUCUUUUUUCUCCAGCUAUUAUACAUUUUAUCUUUCUUAAAGACAGGAAAGUUUUCUAAUACUUUGUGUACCAAACAUGGCCUAGCAUAGUGACUCUCCCUUGUAGGUACCCAUUAAAUAUUUGUUGACUAGUUGAUAUAAUUUGUUACCUUUAUGUUACCUUUAACACUGUUUCUCAAGGAAAAAAUAUAAAACCUCUUAGAUCCACACUUAUGGACCCCAUUCUGAGCUACUUUGCAAACCUUUCCUUUGUACAGUCAUGACAUCAUGUAAAUAAAUAAUCUUGGUACUGGAAUGCAUCUUGGUUGAAAUUCAUUGCAAGUCUCAGUUAUCAGGAGAUAGUUCAGAUGAUUCCAAACAUUAAUUUUUAGAAGUUAUCAGUGAAAUAAUACAAAAAAUAUUAAAAUUCCCAUGUUUCUAAGAAUUCUACUGAAGUAUUUCUCUCUGGGAGAAAUACUAUUUUAAUAAACCCUAUAUUACUCUGAACUAUGGGGAGGAAAAAAAAAUGCCCAGUCAUUAGGACAAACUGUAUUCAAAGCCCUAACAAUACACAUAUUUUCAAUAUUACUUCUAGAAAAUACAUUCAAAGGAAAUAAUUAAAGAUGCACUCAAAUACUUAGCUACAAUGAUAUUCAUUAUAGCAUUGAAUAUAAUAUAUACAUACAUUUAAAAACCUAAAUUACAAUAAAAUAGGUGGUCAGAUAAUUGUACAUCAUACGGGGUGCCAUUAGGGUGUGUAUUAUAUGAGAAUAUUUAACAAAAUGGAAAGAUAUUCACAAUAUAUUAUGUGAAAAAGAUUGUAAAUAUAAUUUUUUUAAGUACUGGAAUUAUAUGCUCCAAAUGUUAUAUUAAUGUCAUUUUGCAAUGAGAUUAUGGAUUUCUAAACUUUCUAGAAUGAAGGUAUGUUACUUUUGCAUAAAGAAUUUUAAAAAAUUAAAGAUAUUAAAAACUUAGCCAGUACUUUAGAAUUCAAGUGUUUGCUCAGCCAGUACCUUAGAAUUGCUCUAUAGGGUCAUAUACCCUUCAGCCAAGAAACUAUAUUACUUAAUCUUUUGAAUUUUUCAAAAGAUGAUAAGACAAACUAAAGAAAGCAUCUCUCCUCUUGAUGGCUAACUUCUUCAGGAAAGUGAAUGAACAUCUUAUGACUAAAGCCAAUCCAUGAGAUUAGAUUGUGGGAAGCAUGUUCUGUUCUUCUUUGGCGACAUGUGUGCUCAUAGUUCUCACUUGA